rnacentral:rRNA from 1 species
GAUGAACGCUAGCGGCAGGCCUAAUACAUGCAAGUCGAACGAUACCAGAGAGCUUGCUUUCUGGGAAAGUGGCGCACGGGUGCGUAACGCGUAUGCAACCUACCUUAAUCAGGGGGAUAGCCUCUCGAAAGAGAGAUUAACACCGCAUAAAAUCACACUUCGGCAUCGAAGAAUGAUCAAAUAUUUAUAGGAUUAAGAUGGGCAUGCGUGACAUUAGCUAGUUGGUAAGGUAACGGCUUACCAAGGCUACGAUGUCUAGGGGAUCUGAGAGGAUGACCCCCCACACUGGUACUGAGACACGGACCAGACUCCUACGGGAGGCGGCAGUAAGGAAUAUUGGUCAAUGGGGGCAACCCUGAACCAGCCAUGCCGCGUGCAGGAAGACGGCCCUACGGGUUGUAAACUGCUUUUAUACGGGAAUAAAUCUCGCUACGUGUAGUGAGUUGAAUGUACUGUAAGAAUAAGGAUCGGCUAACUCCGUGCCAGCAGCCGAC